rnacentral:lncRNA from 1 species
AUGGCAUUAGUGCUGUCGGAAUCCUGAUAAAACAUCACAAACUUCUGUUCGUUGGUAUUAGGGACAGUAUAGAGUGAGUGCUUGAAGAACUGCCUUGGCUUACCAAUCUCUCUCUCCACAACUUCCAAUCAUCUCUAGGGAACCUAGCAGAAACACUUCCACAGAGCAAAAGUUAUAAUACAGAAAGUGAUGAAAGGAGGACGCAGGCUCUCAAUGACGUCAGGUAUUCCCGGGACCCGCCCACCGUGGGCGUUUUCCACCUACAGGCAGGCGUCUCCGGGGGCGGGGCUUGCUCAGGGUUAACGUCACUACUGAGCGCCGGGCGCGUUCCGUUGGCGGCGGAUUCGAACGUUCGGACUGAGGUUUUUCUGCCUGAAGAAGCGUCAUACGGACCGGAUUGUUUUCGCUGGCCCAGUGUCCCCGGAGCUUGUGUGCGAUACAGAGAGCACCUCGGAAGCUGAGGCAGCUGGUACUUGACAGAGAGGAUGGCGCUGUCGACCAUAGUCUCCCAGAGGAAGCAGAUAAAGCGGAAGGCUCCCCGUGGCUUUCUAAAGCGAGUCUUCAAGCGAAAGAAGCCUCAACUUCGUCUGGAGAAAAGUGGUGACUUAUUGGUCCAUCUGAACUGUUUACUGUUUGUUCAUCGAUUAGCAGAAGAGUCCAGGACAAACGCUUGUGCGAGUAAAUGUAGAGUCAUUAACAAGGAGCAUGUACUGGCCGCAGCAAAGGUAUCUGAAAACUGAAGAGUGGAGAAUAUGUUCAGCAGGGAACAAGAGGAUUCUUUUAGAAAUAAGAGGUAGAAGGUCACCUCAAAUACCACAAAAUGAAUGGGAAGAUGAACACUAUGCAAGUACUCAUUAAAAACAUCCCAAAAUGCUGGAGGAAAUGCCGUGGAAUUAAGGAAUGACUCUUUUGUGGUAGAAAAUUUUUAUUUCAGAGUAUAGACACUGCUUGUGCUGGGUCUCUUAAUUUUACUGGAUAUUAUAAUUUUCUUGGACUGUUAGAUUUUCUCAGUGCAACAUUUCUGAGAGCAAAUAUGUUCUGCUCAAUUAAAUACUUUCUAAAGCUAGAUAAAUGCCUUCCAGUAAGCACAUUAACAUUCAAUAUGUUAUAUUUUACCAGAGGUAAAACAUUUAUAUUCUAAAACAUUAUAUUCUAAAUUUUUUUACCCCAGGGAAAAUAAAAUGCCAAAAAUCUCAACUACCACACAUAGCUUUGUAAUAAGAUCAAUGGGCAAAUGGAAUCAGCUUCAGUUUGCACUAAUCCUACAUAUAUGUAUUAAGGAUAUGUGUAAUGAACUUUGGCCAUAAUAAAUUAUAACUAAUUUAUUUCAUCAGUUCACUACUAUAUUUCUUUCUUGUUUGCUUCUCCUCUUGUCGUCUCUUCAUAUUUGGUAGAAUAUAUUUUAUUGAAUAUCUAGUUUCAGAUUACCUGAGCUUCAGAUUACAUGGAAUUUUGGACUGUUGAAUACUUUUGAUUGUGUAGUGGAUAUAACUAAGCAAUUUUUUUUUUGGGGUGCAUACUUAGAAUGUAAUUUCUGGAUCUUUUGAUAGGCAUAUUGUUUUAGUUUGUUUUCUGCUUCUAUAACAUAAUACUGUAGACUGGGUAAUGUAUAAAGAAAAGAGAUUUAUUUCCCUCAGAGUUCUGGAGAUUGUCCAAGAUCAAGGGGCUGCAUCUAGUGAAAUCCUUCUUGCUGUGUCCUAUAUGGUGGAAAGCAUCACAUGGCAAGGAAGCAUGCUUGUGACAGAGAGAAUGAGAGCUGAACUUCAUCUUUUUAUCAGCAACCCCCUCCAGCAAUAAUUAACCCAAUCCCACAAUAAUGGCCUUAAUGUAUUCAUGUGGGCAGAGUCCUUAUAACUCAAUCACCUCUUGAAGGUCCCACUCUUAAUGCUGUCGCAGUAGCAAUUACAUUUCAACAUGAGUUUUGGAAGGGAUAUUUAAACCAUAGCAUACAUGUUUGCUAUAAAAACGCCAGUUUUCCAAGUGAAUGUACCCAUUUUAAACACCCACCAGAAUCAUUUGUGAGAUCUAAUUGUUCAUUCAAUCUUACUAUACUUGGUAUAGUCAAUUAUUUUAAUUUUAGCACCAUAAUGAAUAUGUAGUGAUAUUAAAUUUGGUAUUACUUUGCAUUAAUGACUAAAAAUUAGAUAACAAAUGAUAUUGAACUUAUUUCCACAUGCUUAUUGAUCAUUUGGAUAUAUUACUUUGUGAAGUUCAUUUUUGAAGCCUUUUGCCCAUUUUUCUUUGUGUUGUAUUUAUUUUCCAUACUCAUCAAAAACAUCCCAAAAUGCUAGAGGAAAUGCUCUAGAAUUCAGGAAUAACUUCUUUUGUGGUAGAGAAUUUUUAUUUCAGAGUAUAGACACUGUUUGUGCUGGGUUUCUUAAUUUUACUGGAUAUCAUCAUUUUCUUGGGCUGUUUGAUCAAGUUUGAUUUUCCCAGUGCAACAUUUCUGAGAGUAAAUAUGGUCUGCUUAAUAAAAUAUGUUCUAAAGCCAGAUAAGUGCUUUCCAGCAAGUACAAUUUUCCUUCCAGCAAGUAUAAUACCUGGUUUAUAAGCAUUACAUAUAUUAAUAUUAUUAUUUUGUCAGAUAGAUAUAAUAAAAGUUUAAUAUUUCAAUCUUUUAUGGUAAGUGCUAUUUAUAUACUGUUUAAGAAAGAGGCACCCAUCAUGACAAUAAUGUUCUAUAUUUUCCUAUGAAAGUCUUGUUUUAUAUUUCACAUUUAGGUUUUGAUGGUCCUUAAAUAUAAGAUUUUUAUACAUGAUAUUAUGUAUGGAUUUAGGUUAAUUUAUUUUUAUAUGGAUAGCCAAUUGACCCAGAACCACUUAUCAAAAAGACAUCCUUUAUACAUUGAAUUGCAAUAGUGUUUUAUCAAAACCAGCUAAGUAUUUUUGAGUGAGUGUAUUUCUGAACUCUCUAAUUUGUUUCAUUUGUUUACCUUUUGUUGUAUUAUUUCCUCACCAUCUUAAUUAUUUUUAGCCUUAUAAAAGCUUUGAUAUUUGGUAGUAUAAGUUUUCCUGUUUAGUUUUUCUUCUGUAAUAUUUUCUUGACUAUAUAAAGUCCUUGCAUUUCUAUGUACAUUUUAGAAUAAAACUGUCAAUUUGCACAAAAUAACAGGCUGGGAUUUGGAUAGAGAUUAUGUUGAUUUGAGGGAGAUUGGCAUUUUAUCAAUAUUGUGUCUUUCAGUCAAUAUACAGAGUAUAUCUAUUUAGUUAUUUUGAUAUUAAUUUUUCUCACCAAUGUUUUAUGGUCCUUAAGGAAAAAGCCUUGCAAUGUUUCUAUAUAUGUGAUCCUAGGUAGUGGACCCUUUUAGAUGUUAUUAUAAAUGAUUUUGCUUUUUAAUUAAAUUUCAUUUUUCAGUUAUUUCUAGUAUAAAGAAAUGGAGGUGACUGAUUAUUGGAAACAUUUAUUUGUAAAUUUUCUUAUUUUUAAUUUUUUUGUAGAUUCUUGUAAAUUUUCUGCAGAAAAUUUAUAUUUUUUUCUGGCUUUAUUGAACUGCUUUGAAACUCCAGUGAAAUGUUGAAUAAAAGUGCUGAUAAUUGAUAUUA